rnacentral:rRNA from 1 species
CAGUCGCCGCGGGAAUACAGAGGGUGCGAGCGUUAAUCGGAUUUACUGGGCGUAAAGCGUGCGUAGGCGGCUUUUUAAGUCGGAUGUGAAAUCCCUGAGCUUAACUUAGGAAUUGCAUUCGAUACUGGGAAGCUAGAGUAUGGGAGAGGAUGGUAGAAUUCCAGGUGUAGCGGUGAAAUGCGUAGAGAUCUGGAGGAAUACCGAUGGCGAAGGCAGCCAUCUGGCCUAAUACUGACGCUGAGGUACGAAAGCAUGGGGAGCAAACAGGAUUAGAUACCCCUGUAGUCCCUGUCUCUUAUAU